ensembl:lncRNA EOGT-DT EOGT divergent transcript
AUCUCCAUCGCAGCAGCCCGCGCCUCCUUGAGCGAGAGCGUUAAAGCGCUCAGAGGAUGUUAGGACGGGGUGGGUAGAAAACCUGACUCUUCGUGUCUUCUGCGUUGCACUGAGGUGGAUUUUUACUUUUGUCUUAUUUCAAGCAGAAGUUGCCGCCCUAACUUCCAAAUUUGGGGACUGAACAUCGUUCACCGAAUACACUUUGUGAUGAAAAACACAUACUUCUUGGAUUUGUGUUUUGGAAACCUGUGACAGUACCUGCUGAAGUUCACCGAUCUCAUGGCGUAAAUAAUCCUCCUUUCUGGCAGCCGCUUGUUCUGUACGCUGCAAUGCAAGCCUAAGGUCCCCCACCUGUAGGAGGAGAAACAAUACAUUCACAAACAAUGUUUUAGGUGAUGAAGUACCUGCUGCCAGAGUUUCCCCUGAAACACACAAAGAAGAGUCUUUUACUUGUGAUUCAGUUGUUUCAGGAGUUCUUGACUGGCCAAUGUGCAAGGAUUCAUGUAAGCUGCUUUUCACUUCUUCUUCUGGUCGUUGUGAUUUUGCUGGAGGUUUUGAUACCACUGGACUCUUCUGAAUGGUCUGGACAUCAGUUGGCGAGAGAAAGGCACUGAAGAAAUUUUCAGAUUCAUCGACCACAGUCCUCCGAACUGGCUUUGUGAUUGCUUUAGGAGAGGCUAUUGGUGGACUCUGAGGUUCAGUGUUUGAUUUCAACCCCCAGGUUGAAGUAUCCCAUCCUCCACUGACAGGGGAACUUAUUCCUUUAACAAAAAAGUAAAUAUUAAAAAAGAACACAUAUAUGUUACAUUAAUAUUUCAAUCAUCAUUAUAAAUCAGUAUAAAUAUAAAUUUAGAAAAAAUACCCUAUGAAAUACCUGUAAUUUGCACCUGCUAAACUCCUUGCUUACUACAUCAUUAAGUAGUUUCCAAGUUAAUACAGGGACUUACGGAAGAAAACUGGUGUGGGUCCACCUGAGAGGAAGGAGGAGCACAGACAAAAGACUGGGCCUGGCCUGGACUACCAGAUGCGAGGUGGCUGUGAUGGCUGGAGAUUUCAUUUGCCUAAAGAUUAUGAUGAGAGAGAAGUAUCAAACAUAAUUUUUAUCAAAAGAUAAUUUUUUUAAGGUUUCAAAAAUCACAAAAAUGAUUUUUACAACAUAACAAAAAUCUACAAUACUUACAGAGAAGCACUAUUGGUUAGAUAAUCCAAAACCUCCUGUAGUUUAGCUGAUGGAGAAAA